UAACGUCUCUUUACCUUCUUUUAAUUUAACCCCCAAAAAAUUAGUAAUUUAAAUAAGGUAUUAAUUACCAUAAAUGUUACCGUUGCCACAUGGGGAAUUAGAAAAUCUAUUCUUUUGGGCAGUGACGGGUAGGAGAAAGCUACCCGUUUUCUUCAGACUUUUCGUAUCCCGCUUCCUUCCCGUUAUCUCUUUCGGUCUCAUUUCAAUAUUUCCUCUCAUUCUUUUUCGUGAGAGGGAGAAACCCAAAGAUUUUGUCUGCCGUUUCUUAUUUUUUACUUUGGUGAUAUUGAAAUCCCCUGUUUUCGCUCUGUGUUUGAAAUCUAUCGAUGUCGGUCUGUCUGUUUCUUUUUGUUUGCUUUGCCGGAGACUGAUUUCGGAACGAACGGUUCAAUCAGAGCGAAAGUUUCGGGUUUGGUGAGCGUUAAACACGCCGUCGCAUCGGCUCCCAAAGUGUAGAAAAUCGCCAUCAAUCGUGUGCAUAUUGCGAUGCAAACCAAGAACGAACGGUUCAAUCAGAGCGAGUUUCGGGUUUGGGUAGCGUCAAAGUCGCCGUCGCUUCGGCUCCUAAAGUGUGGAAAAUCGGCGGCAAUCGUGUAAGUGUAGAAAAUCUUUUCUUGUUUUUGCCUAGCAGAAUACUUUUUGUUAUAUCCGCUGAGCAGAAUAAUUUUUGCUAAAAGUAUCUCCAUUAAUGAUUCUAUCUUGGAUUUAAGAAACUCACCAUAUAUGUUUGCAAGUUUAUUCCACUUUAUAAUUCAAAGAAAGUCUUAAAGUGGGAGACAAUAAAAUACAGAAGUGGCCUUUAAAAUGGCCCAAAACUGAUUGAGCCCAAUGACGAAGUAAACUUGGGUUGGAUUUC